GACGAACGCUGGCGGCGUGCCUAAUACAUGCAAGUUGAGCGCUGAAGGUUGGUACUUGUACCAACUGGAUGAGCAGCGAACGGGUGAGUAACGCGUGGGGAAUCUGCCUUUGAGCGGGGGACAACAUUUGGAAACGAAUGCUAAUACCGCAUAAAAACUUUAAACACAAGUUUUAAGUUUGAAAGAUGCAAUUGCAUCACUCAAAGAUGAUCCCGCGUUGUAUUAGCUAGUUGGUGAGGUAAAGGCUCACCAAGGCGAUGAUACAUAGCCGACCUGAGAGGGUGAUCGGCCACAUUGGGACUGAGACACGGCCCAAACUCCUACGGGAGGCAGCAGUAGGGAAUCUUCGGCAAUGGACGAAAGUCUGACCGAGCAACGCCGCGUGAGUGAAGAAGGUUUUCGGAUCGUAAAACUCUGUUGGUAGAGAAGAACGUUGGUGAGAGUGGAAAGCUCAUCAAGUGACGGUAACUACCCAGAAAGGGACGGCUAACUACAUG
rnacentral:rRNA from 1 species